UACGUAGGGGGCAAGCGUUGUCCGGAAUCAUUGGGCGUAAAGAGCGUGUAGGCGGCCAGAAAAGUCCGCUGUGAAAACUCGAGGCUCAACUUCGAGCUGUCGGUGGAAACUUUCUGGCUAGAGUCCGGAAGAGGAGAAUGGAAUUCCUGGUGUAGCGGUGAAAUGCGCAGAUAUCAGGAGGAACACCGGUGGCGAAGGCGGGUCUCUGGGCAACAACUGACGCUGAGGCGCGAAAGCUAGGGGAGCGAACUGG
rnacentral:rRNA from 1 species